GGAGUUCUGUCAUACACUCGGACUGUGCUACCUGGGGUCAGUGCAUCACAGAACUUUGU
rnacentral:pre_miRNA from 1 species